GUGCUUGCUCUGGCAGGGCACACACAAAAAAUUGGAAUGACAGAGAUUACCAUGGCCCCUGCAGAAAGGUGACAACCAAAUUCAAGAUGGUCUCAUAUUUAU
ensembl:snRNA U6 U6 spliceosomal RNA